AGAUUGAACGCUGGCGGCAGGCCUAACACAUGCAAGUCGAGCGGCAGCACGGGUACUUGUACCUGGUGGCGAGCGGCGGACGGGUGAGUAAUGCCUAGGAAUCUGCCUGGUAGUGGGGGAUAACGCUCGGAAACGGACGCUAAUACCGCAUACGUCCUACGGGAGAAAGCAGGGGACCUUCGGGCCUUGCGCUAUCAGAUGAGCCUAGGUCGGAUUAGCUAGUUGGUGAGUAUGCUCACC
rnacentral:rRNA from 1 species